UUAUUCCUCUAGUUCUUAGAAGUUAGGGAAGUGGAGACCAGUAUUCCUGAUCUCGGAAAGCAAGGCAUUGAGUGGCCGGGUUCAAGAGGCAGCGCCGCCUUGGGCCGCACACUUGCUGCACUCUUUGGAGGAGGAGAUUGGCUCUAUUUGUGACUUGUACAGGAAAAAUGAAGCGUGGACCCCCAAACGUUUCGCACGACACCAUUUGUCCUCGAGCCUGCGCGGCAUGCCUGCCUAUCCUUGGGCCUCAGUCUUCCUGUCUGAGAAACUUGAAGUCCCUUGAAGAGGGGUGAGACUCUUGCUGCAUGUGGAUUGUCCCUACAGAUAUCUCUGACCACGAGGACACACGUACAUGGCACACUGAAGCAAAUGGCCCCACAGGCACCCACACCCGCACCCACACCACACCCCAUGUGCGAGCUCUCUCAGAUCACACUGAGUUGGGAAAUGGGGACCAUGCCCCCUCAGGCAGGCGAUUACAGAUUUAAUUAAAAGUGACACAGUAAAUAAAAAACAUAUAAAAUGUAA